rnacentral:rRNA from 1 species
UAGUCAUAUGCUUGUCUCAAAGAUUAAGCCAUGCAUGUCUAAGCACAAGCCGAUUAAUGGUGAAGCCGCGAAUGGCUCAUUACAACAGCCAUAGUUUCUUAGAUCUUACUUUUCUACUUGGAUAACUGUGGUAAUUCUAGAGCUAAUACACGCAAACAAGCUCAGACCUUACGGAAUGAGCGCAUUUAUUAGAACAAAAACCAAUCGGACUUUCGGGUCCGUCAUUUGGUGAAUCUGAAUAACUAUGCUGAUCGCACGGUCAUCGUACCGGCGACAUAUCUUUCAAAUGUCUGCCUUAUCAACUUUCGAUGGUAGUUUAUGCGCCUACCAUGGUUGUAACGGGUAACGGAGAAUAAGGGUUCGACUCCGGAGAGGGAGCCUGAGAAACGGCUACCACAUCCAAGGAAGGCAGCAGGCACGCAAAUUACCCACUCCCGGCACGGGGAGGUAGUGACGAAAAAUAACGAGACGGCUCGCUAUGCGGUCCGUCAUCGGAAUGGGUACAAUUUAAAUCCUUUAACGAGGAUCUAUU